ACGGGGCGCAGCAGGCGCGAAACCUUUACACUGCACGAACGUGCGAUAAGGGGACUCCGAGUGCGAGGGCAUACAGUCCUCGCUAUUGUGUACCGUAGGGUGGUACACGACCAAGAGCUGGGCAAGACCGGUGCCAGCCGCCGCGGUAAUACCGGCAGCUCGAGUGAUGGCCGAUUUUAUUGGGCCUAAAGCGUCCGUAGCUGGCCCUGCAAGUCCGUCGGGAAAUCCACUCGCCUAACGAGUGGGCGUCCGGCGGAAACUACUGGGCUUGGGACCGGAAGACUUGAGGGGUACGUCUGGGGUAGGAGUGAAAUCCUGUAAUCCUGGACGGACCGCCGAUAGCGAAAGCACCUCAAGACGACGGAUCCGACAGUGAGGGACGAAAGCUAGGGUCUCGAACCGGAUUAGAUACCCGGGUAGUCCUAGCUGUAAACGAUGUUCGCUAGAUGUGGCACAGGCUACGUGCCUGUGCUGUGUCGUAGGGAAGCCGAGAAGCGAACCGCCUGGGAAGUACGUUCCGCAAGGAUGAAACCUUAAAAGGGAAUUGGCGGGGGGAGCACUACAACCGGAGGAGCCUGCGGUUUAAAUUGGACUCAACGCCGGACUCUCACCAGCCUCCCGAACUACAGUGAUGACGAUC
rnacentral:rRNA from 1 species